AUAUGCAUUGAUUAUCCUCAUAAUCAAGUGGUAUGAAGAUAUUAGUAUGACAUACAAGUGAGAUAUAGAAGUACAUCUUAUUGAACGUGAUUAAUUGCUGGGUACUCUACUGUCAAAAGUAGCUCACAAAGGAUAUGGGUAUAAGUAUUCUUCCGAUCUAAGAUCAUCAUGGUGACUUGCAAGUAAUUUAUUGUGCUUUGGUGCC
rnacentral:lncRNA from 1 species